GCACUGGGGUCUGAGUUAAAUCCCCAGGAAUGGCACACAAAAAAAUUUUUUUAGAAGUCUUAUUUUGUCUUUGAAACAUAUGCUAUGUAGCCAAGUUAUAAACAGGUUCGUGAUUACUUUGUUGUUUUUUGUUUGUUUGUUUAUGUGGUACCCAGGAACUGAACACAGGGCCUCAUGCACGUCAGGCAAGCACUCUACCACUAAGCCAUAUUUCCUGUCCCUUAUGACUGACUACUUUAAUGUAUGCAGUGAUUGUACCUAAAUAUAAUUUCAAAAAAUUACAGAAUCAUUGUAUUAUAAGAAAAGGAGAAAAACACAUUUGAGCAUAAAACAGAAUUCAUAAUAAAAUGUGUUUGGCACUUUUACAAGUCUAGUUAAAAAUCACCCACUUACUCAAAAGCAUUCUGGACCCUGAUUUUCAUAAGUACUAUAAAAAAAAUUAAAGUUGACACUGAAUUACUAUUUUUAAGUAGCAGUUCCAAAAUUUCAUUUGUUCACCUCCUCUUUUUAUUUAAUGGUCUCCUUGUACCAUCAAUAUACAGAUUCUACUUAGCACUUCUACUUCCUAUUCAAGUACUAUGCAAUAAAUGUUAAAAGUACUCAUAGCAAUAACCAGUCCUAAACAUAACCCUACAAAAUCCCUCAUGCCCUCAGCUGUGAAACAUUACUAUCCAAAACAUUUUACCAACAAAAAAUCCAGGUUGUAAAAUCCACUUUGGCAGUGGAGGAAUUCACUUGCUCCAUAUCUGUCUAAAGACUAUUUUGCCACAAGCCAGGGUAACUUUUUUCUUUUUUCUUUUUCUCUCUGCAGUGCUUCUAAGUAUAGUGACAGCCGCAUGAGGCUUUCCUAGUCUCAGCACAAGCUCAGUGAAAAUCUGGGAAAUGUAAGUGGAAACAUGAGAGACUGCUUUAUUUGGCAGCACUUUAAAGGGGGUGGGGGGGAGGCAGGACAAAUGGCAAAGCAGCGUUGGACUGCAGGAUGAGCAAUCAAUAGGCAGAAAGCAAGAUAGAUGCUUCCACAGCUUCUGGAUCGACAAUCGACAGCUGAGAGACUAUUUUUUGCUAUGGUUGACUAAAUAUGGUCAGGGAAGAGAGAGGCACAAGAGAGCCUGUUUGCCUAGGAGUGCAUGUUUCAAAUGCUUAGCUGCCUAUAAAGCUGUAACAGUUUAGCCUGUGGUCACUGAGAGAAGAAUAUAAGUUAGCCUCUGUAGUGAGCAUGUCGAAGUCCCAACCUCGCUUGCAGACUUGACCUCUGGAUAUGACAAGGUAGCUACAUGACAGAUCUACCACUUAAUCCUGGAAACUCAAAAAAAAAAAAAAAAAGUCAUCUCAAAGCAAGAAAUGAUGCAGAAUAUUUCCUGAGGAGUCAGAAGAACCCAAAGUAAUCUGUUUAUUUCAAAAGGUGAGGUCUGUCUUUGCUGAUACUCUACACCCAGUGCAUAAAAAGAAGUGCUGAAUCAGCCAAUAUAGUGAAGGAGCAAUCAGGAUGAGAUGGCUGCUGCCCCUGUGACUCUCCAGGCCACUACCUCUCUUCCUGCAGCAAAUACCGCAUGGCACUAAGCUCACAGGAUUUAGAAAAAAAACUACGAAAGUAUAAAAAGAAGAAAAUCCCUGAAGACUAUGAAGAAACACUAGGUUAAUGUCAGCAAUUUCUGAAAUACAGCGUAAAACUCCACUGAUUCUAUGAAUCUCUUGCAAAAGCAAACCAGGACAAAGUUCAGCAGAUAACUGGUCAAAUGUUUAGAAAAGUUUAUUUCCAUCAAGAACAAGAAACCGUAAGUGGCAUUAAAUGGCACGAUCAGGUAAAUUUGUUUUAAAGUUUAGUUUCUGAUAAAUUAAUUUCUGCAAAUGAUCUAUCACUGUUCUACUUCAGUAAGCUGAGUGUUUUAUUAAGAACGUAAGAUACUUCAUGUUUUUUACAGCAAACAAUUUAGUAAUACCUACUCAGAAAACAUACUUCUUUAUGUACCCAUAUGAACAUACAAUGCUAUGGAAUGUAAAGAAGUAUGUAUUUUUGGUAGGUAAUUAGCCACCAAGAGGGAACUAAACUGCAGCUAAAGGAAGCAACUAGCUUUCUACGUGGAUGACCUUCAAUUGGCAAAUCAACUACUAUCAAGCAGAUGACCUCUGGCAAUGAUAACCCUCCUCCCCAAAUGUACCCGCUACUUAUAAUUCGAAACUAAAUAUCCCUAAGACUUAUGCUUUGUAAAGGAAAAAAAGAACUCUCAUAAGUACUUGUCCAAUUAUCAGGAAAAUAUUUAAACACUUGUGUUUAAAACAUUAUUUUUGAGCACUCACGAGAUUAAAACUAAACUUGGAAAAGUGUUAGCACAAAGAGUAAGGUAGUUUGAUAUUAAUUUAAGUGUAUCACAUUAGUGGGGCAAACUGAUUUGAAAACUAAAGUACAACAAAAGCUGAUUUUCAUUUAUAUUUUAACUAUUAUUCUUCACAUUUCAUAAAUUUAUACUCUCUAUUAGUGGAAUUUCCAAGGCAAAAGUUUCCUUGUUUUAUGUUUUCUUUUUUGACCAAUGUAAUCAUCUCAAAUUUGUUAGGUCUCUAUUGUAAUUUCCACUUUAAAUGCUAUGUUAGUGCUUAAAAUCAAUUCAAACAUAAAAAUAAAGGGUGUAAAAUGACAAAAUGUUGAGCUACAGCUGUAACUCAUUGGAGUAUAUUGAUAAUUUUAAAAUAUUGUAUUCCCUUAGAAUUUGCUUUCUCCAAAAAGGGCAUAUAAAAUGAAAACUCUAUAGUCAAAAACCAACUUAUACAGACAAAAUAACCAUUUUUAUUGGUGCUAUCCAACUAUAAUUAAUUUUAUAGACAGGGCAGAGAUAAAAAUAUUUUUAUAUUUCAGUCUUUUGUAAAAAGAUUAUAAUAAAGUUUUUAGAAACUGAUUAGUACCUAUUUAAGCUAUUCUAUUACAAAAUGUGAAAAGAACAAAUACUAGUAUUCAAAUAUUCUCAUUUCUUAUUUCAUCUACAAUAUUUUUCAUCUACAAAAAGUGCAACAUUUUAUUUGCAUGUCAGAAAUUGUAUAGAAAUGACUACAAGCUGACCUGUUGAGACAGAAAGGUGAUUUUUUAUUUUAUCUAAUUAAUAAUGAAUUAUUUUAUUUUCUUAUGCAUUUAUUGACACUAUAAAGCAUGAUUUUAACACUCUACAUUUUCAAAAAAUUAGUUCAAAUCUUUAAGCAUAGGCUUUCUAAUCUUUUACAAAACAUGUUCCAUUCAUUAAGUUUACCUGUACAUAUCCUAAAUACCAACAAACUGAAACAGCAAUCCUCAAAAAAAACCCAAAACACUACUGAUUUAUUUUGUGAUAAUUGGUUGUUCUGAAGGUAUACAAGGUUUUUUUUUAAGUUUUAAUAAUUAAAUAUUAUUUCUUAACUAUAAUAUUGAGUGCACAAGUCUUAAAAAUUAAAUAGGCUAUCAUAUCCAUUUAGAAAAUAAAGUUAUAAAAUGAUUCUGGUGCUUACAAGUUUACUUAACAUAUCUAAGACUAUUUUCAAUCACUAUAAAAUGUCACAUCUAUCACUUAGAUCAGCUGUUCAUUUUUAACUGAGGACAUGUUAAACUCUGGGCAUCUGCUGACACUGGUGUAACUCAAACAUUUCAACUGUCUCCCUGACAAGGAUAACAGAUGCUGACAUUAUCAAAUGCUGUACUAUUUUUUUCCCAUGGCCUCUCCUUGCCCCGAUAUGGCCAGUGUACUGCCAUCCAAGAGCACACUUGAGCAACUGGAUCUGCUAAACGGCUCCCAUAUAACUAGUAAAAAUAGAAACAGUGGUAUUGCUAUCUUCAGCACUUAAGUGCAGGCAACUUAACACCUGUUUUACUUC